rnacentral:rRNA from 1 species
CGUUGGUGAACCAGCGGAGGGAUCAUUACCGAGUGUAAAAACUCCCAAACCAUUGUGAACCUACCACUGUUGCUUCGGCGGCCUCGCCCCGGGCGCGUUCGCGCGGCCCGGACCCAGGCGUCCGCCGGAGGCUCCAAACUCUUGUCUUUUAGUGUAUUUCUGAGUGGCAUAAGCAAAUAAAUCAAAACUUUCAGCAACGGAUCUCUUGGUUCUGGCAUCGAUGAAGAACGCAGCAAAAUGCGAUAAGUAAUGUGAAUUGCAGAAUUCAGUGAAUCAUCGAAUCUUUGAACGCACAUUGCGCCCGCCAGUAUUCUGGCGGGCAUGCCUGUCUGAGCGUCAUUUCAACCCUCAGGACCCGUUCGCGGGACCUGGCGUUGGGGAUCAGCCUGCCCCUGGCGGCGGCUGGCCCUGAAAUCCAGUGGCGGUUCCCUCGCGAACUCCUCCGUGCAGUAAUUAAACCUCUCGCGGCAGGAUAGCGGUUGAAGCACGCCGUUAAACCCCCCACUUCUCAAGGUUGACCUCAGAUCAGGUAGGAAUACCCGCUGAACUUAAGCAUAUCAAU